UGCGUAGGUGGUUUCUUAAGUCAGAGGUGAAAGGCUACGGCUCAACCGUAGUAAGCCUUUGAAACUGGGAAACCUGAGUGCAGGAGAGGAGAGUGGAAUUCCUAGUGUAGCGGCGAAAUGCGUAGAUAUUAGGAGGAACACCAGUUGCGAAGGCGGCUCUCUGGACUGUAACUGACACUGAGGCACGAAAGCGUGGGGAGCAAACA
rnacentral:rRNA from 1 species